AUAUCCCGGGCUAGACGUGUUUGGAGGGGUGCGGGGCUAGUUUUUGAUUCUUUUGUCUGUUUCGGGUGGGUCUUGGGUGCGUGUAGGUGAGGAAAGAGCGUGUCGUGGCGGGCGGGGAGGGAUGGGUGCGCGACGGCGACGGCCGGCGAUCGGGGAGGGAUGGGUGCGCGACGGCGGUAGCCGGCGGGAGGGGAGGGAUGGCUGCGCGACGGCGGCGGCCGGCGGGAGGGGAGGGAUGGCUGCGCGACGGCGGCGGCCGGCGGGAGGGGGUAUGGGUGUGCGGCGUCGGUCGCGGCCGGCGGGUAGGGAUGGGUGCGAGGCAGCAAGAGGUAUCGGGUCGGUCGGAGGAGGGGGGCGGCAGUGCGUGGAGGACCGGCCUCGAGGGGUGACGUGCCGCGCGGCGGCGCGGGACGCGUGGUGGUGGGUAGGGAGUGGCAACAACGGGCGGUUCUAGGUUCCGUCCCCUAGACCGGUCAGAGAGGACGAGGGAAACAGUCGGGGGGUUCGAGCAACGAGCAGCCGGUGGUCGAGGUAGGUCCCUGGGGGUCUCAAGGAUGACGCUGCGGAGUUGGAGGACGAGAAGGUACCUAAUAACGGUAGGUGGUGCGGUAGUCCUUGUGCUAACCAGAAGGGGACACCGAGGACGGGAAGGAGGCUGCAGUAGGUGAAACUUCUGUGGCUGCGUGGGGUAGUCCACCACCUCGUUCGUACCCCCUUUUUUCCUGAGCGUAGGGCGGCAGCGCGUUCGGGAUGAAGGGCGACCACCGGUAGAGGUGCAUUCAAGCUAGACCCGUGACGGGACGAGUACGUUGGGUAACAGCGGCCGUCGGCGACGCCAGGGCACGGACCGUGAGAGACACGCGUGACGGGUCCGGUAAGUGACGGAGGUGUGUUCCGGCAAACUGCUGCGUUGAGAGUUCGUCUAGUGGGAAUGGUCGUGUUUCGGCAAGUGGAGGCGGUGUUUCCCUCAACGAUAAAGAAAAACGACUACGAGUACGUUUAGAGUACGAUGAAUACACGAUUUAAACUACGAGAUAUCAACGAUCAGCUUUACGGAUGCUCUUGGUUUGAUAAAACUAUUUUAAACUACAACAACAAGGAUAUAAGAUCUACUUAAAACUGGUAUGUUAAAACGAUGUCGCCCCCUACGAAUCAAGUCAAGUUUCUGUAAUAGUACACUAGUACCUACUCUCAGUCUCAGUAGUGCGUAGGUUAAAGAAAACAAGUCAAGUUUUCGAUUUUUAAUAAAGUCAAGUUAAGAACUACAGCAGAAGGACCAAUGAAGUUUGCAUAAGGAACGAAAUUAUCAAAAACGUGAAAGGAGGUAAAAGUACACUGUGAACAAUCUAACGAGAGUCAUAAACUACAUAAAGUACGUUGUGAAUAAACUAACGAGUUCUCUUCACAAUAAAUAAUCACUUAAAAGAAAAUCACAUCUACAAGUUAUACAUAAAUAUAGUUGUCGGGCAUUACUUGUCAUGUUAGAUACACAAUUUUGUAUUGUCUAGUCAAGUAACAGUCAUGUCCGAGACUUUGACGAGUCAUGUCCAACCCCUUGUAAAAACCUUAGUGUAUAUAUAUCGCCAACGAAGGUUUACUUAAACAGCAACGAUCAUGUAAAAACCAUCGUCUACGAAGGUUCACUUAACGGCAAUGAUGAUAGAUGCUACAACGACGGUACAAAACAAAAAGAAACUUAAAUGAUACAUUGGUGAUGAGUACCAUUGUAGUUUGUUGUUUAAAAUAUACGGACCGUACAAACUAGACUAAACUGAGGUACUGGCAUCACGUUUUGUUUUUUGAUGUCAUAGGAACGAUCGAACGUCGACAUUAAAACUAACGUGUCGUCAAAUUAACGUAGCGGUAGAGGACCACCCCGAAACGACGGCCUCGUGGGACCGGCAAGUGUCGGUGGUGAGGUCCGGUAAGUUGCGGUGGUGGGGACCGGCAAGUAACGGUCGUCGUGGGACCUAGGGUGGGGAGUGGGAUCAACAAAGUCAAUAGCUCACUCAAAGUCAGGUUGAACUCGAGGAACUCUACUAGUAUAUUAAUUGAAGUUUUAAUAAUGUACCAGGUACAUAAAAUGUCUUUCAGGUACAUCAUGAUGUACCCUUCAUGUUUUUAAUGAAGAUCACUCUCAAGUAAAUUUAGAUGUCCCAGGUCAGGGUAUAUAGAAAAUUGGUCCAAGUACCACUUCGGGUCCCACGAGCAGCCGCAAGUGUUCUUCGUCCGGUAGCUCUUCCUCGACCCGCUGUACCACGUCGCCACACCGGUCAAGUUGGUGGAUCGAUUAUCUAGUACUAAAAGAGAGAAAACGGAUACAGAGAAUCACACAAUGGGGAAGGAGAAAAGUAUAUCGCAUAAGACUUGUAGUCUACGAAAUUUUUUACACAGCGCGUUCAAGUUCAUAUCGACGGCGUCCUCAAGUUUUUAGACUUGUCAAAUUCGAGUUGGGUUAAAGUUCUUGACAAAGGAAAUAUUUAACAAACUUCAAACACUAAAACCGAGUACCGUCCUCGAGCAACUGCUACUUCCUACACUUCGAAGUGGUGGUAAGUGUUGAGGUCAUACCAGGUCAAGCAGUACUCCUAAACCUCGAAGUUGAAAAGGUCAAGUAGAAAGUAUACGAAAAAUCAUGUAGAUGAAGGAGUAAUACCUUCUUCCUUUAGUCAGGUUGUCCACGUAGAUUUCACUGUACAGCACGUGGUGGGUGAGCAGGAGUUCGACGAGCAGCACAGUACGGCCGAACGGUAGUUGGUGUCAACACCGAGUUGAGGGUGCCACGAAGGUGCUGGUGGUGUGCGUCGGAGGGAGAUAACAACGGGAGUGGUACGAGAGGACGCAUAACCGCCGGAGUUGCUCGACUGAUACCAACGGCGAGGACGCACGACGUCAUGCGGCAGCUCGACCAGUGGUAAAUAUAAAAACAAAAUUCAAGUAAACACAAGAACAACAGUCCAGCGGAUGUUUAAACAAUAGCAACAAUCAAGUACACACAAGAACAACAAUCCAGGACACGUUCAAACAAUAGUCAAGUACACAUAACACAAAGAAAACAGCGAAGUAAUCAUGUAUAGGUGGAUGUCGGGCAAGUUACUACAUUCGGUGUGUUCAAGCUUUUCUUUACCUAUUUUGUUACCACCACCACUUUUCUUAUGUUGGG
rnacentral:rRNA from 1 species